rnacentral:rRNA from 1 species
UACGUAGGGCGCAAGCGUUGUCCGGAAUUAUUGGGCGUAAAGAGCUCGUAGGUGGCUUGUUGCGUCUGCCGUGAAAGCCCGUGGCUUAACUACGGGUCUGCGGUGGAUACGGGCAGGCUAGAGGCUGGUAGGGGCAAGCGGAAUUCCUGGUGUAGCGGUGAAAUGCGCAGAUAUCAGGAGGAACACCGGUGGCGAAGGCGGAUCUCUGGGCCGAUACUGACGCUGAGGAGCGAAAGCGUGGGGAGCGAACAGG